rnacentral:rRNA from 1 species
GCUUGCUUCUAGAAGGUUAGCGGCGGACGGGUGAGUAACACGUGGGCAACCUGCCUGUAAGACUGGGAUAACUUCGGGAAACCGGAGCUAAUACCGGAUAAUCCUUUCCCUCUCAUGAGGGAAAGCUGAAAGACGGUUUCGGCUGUCACUUACAGAUGGGCCCGCGGCGCAUUAGCUAGUUGGUGAGGUAACGGCUCACCAAGGCGACGAUGCGUAGCCGACCUGAGAGGGUGAUCGGCCACACUGGGACUGAGACACGGCCCAGACUCCUACGGGAGGCAGCAGUAGGGAAUCUUCCGCAAUGGACGAAAGUCUGACGGAGCAACGCCGCGUGAACGAUGAAGGCCUUCGGGUCGUAAAGUUCUGUUGUUAGGGAAGAACAAGUACCGGAGUAACUGCCGGUACCUUGACGGUACCUAACCAGAAAGCCACGGCUAACUACGUGCCAGCAGCCGCGGUAAUACGUAGGUGGCAAGCGUUGUCCGGAAUUAUUGGGCGUAAAGCGCGCGCAGGCGGUCCUUUAAGUCUGAUGUGAAAGCCCACGGCUCAACCGUGGAGGGUCAUUGGAAACUGGGGGACUUGAGUGCAGAAGAGGAAAGCGGAAUUCCACGUGUAGCGGUGAAAUGCGUAGAGAUGUGGAGGAACACCAGUGGCGAAGGCGGCUUUCUGGUCUGUAACUGACGCUGAGGCGCGAAAGCGUGGGGAGCAAACAGGAUUAGAUACCCUGGUAGUCCACGCCGUAAACGAUGAGU